CCUACGGGAGGCAGCAGUGGGGAAUAUUGGGCAAUGGAGGAAACUCUGACCCAGCAACGCCGCGUGAAUGAUGAAGGUCUUCGGAUUGUAAAGUUCUUUUCUAAGGGAAGAAGAAAGUGACGGUACCUUAGGAAUAAGCCUCGGCUAACUACGUGCCAGCAGCCGCGGUAAUACGUGGGAGGAGAGCGUUAUCCGGAAUGACUGGGUGUAAAGGGUGCGUAGGUGGUGUGGCAAGGUAGUAGAGUAACUCCCAGGCUCAACCUUGGAAUUACUACUAAAACUGUUGGACUUGAGUGCAGGAGGGGCAACCGGAAUUCCUAGUGUAGCGGUGGAAUGCGUAGAUAUGAGGAGGAACACCGGUGGCGAAGGCAGGUUGCUAGACUUUAACUGACACUGAGGCACGAAAGCGUGGGGAGCAAACAGGAUUAGAUACCCUUGUAGUC
rnacentral:rRNA from 1 species